rnacentral:rRNA from 1 species
UACGUAGGGUGCAAGCGUUGUCCGGAAUUAUUGGGCGUAAAGAGCUCGUAGGCGGUCUGUCACGUCUGCUGUGAAAACUCGGGGCUUAACCCCGGGCCUGCAGUGGGUACGGGCAGACUAGAGUGCGGUAGGGGAGACUGGAAUUCCUGGUGUAGCGGUGAAAUGCGCAGAUAUCAGGAGGAACACCGGUGGCGAAGGCGGGUCUCUGGGCAGUUCCUGACACUGAGACACGAAGGCCAGGGGAGCAAACGGG